rnacentral:rRNA from 1 species
CAUCUUUUCUUGUUUAAUAUUUUGAGAUUUGACCUGCCCCAUGAUAUUAUUUAAUGGCCGCGGUAUUUUGACCGUGCAAAGGUAGCAUAAUCAUUAGUCUAUUAAUUGUGGGCUUGUAUGAAUGGUUGGACGUAAUAUUUACUGUCUCUUUAUUAUUAAUUGAAUUUAAAUUUCUGGUUAAAAUGCUUGAAUUUAUUUAUGUGACGAUAAGACCCUAUAGAUCUUUAUUUUAAUUGUUUUAUAUUUUUUUUAGAUUAUUUAUUAAUUUAAAUUAUUUUUAUUUUGUUGGGGUGACAUUGAGAUAUUAUUAACUCUUUAUUUUUAUUUACAUUUAUUUAUGUUUUAUUGACCUUUUAUUAAUGUUAUAAGAUAUAGAUACCUUAGGGAUAACAGCGUAAUUUUUUUUGAGAGUUCAAAUCGACAAAGGAGAUUGCGACCUCGAUGUUGGAUUAAGAUUAUAAUUAGGUGUAGCUGUUUAAUUAUUAGGUCUGUUCGACCUUUAAAUUCUUACAUGA